rnacentral:rRNA from 1 species
AGCGAACGUUAGCGGCGGGCCUAACACAUGCAAGUCGAACGCGAAAGGUCUUCGGACUGAUUAGAGUGGCGCACGGGUGAGUAACACGUAGGUAAUCUACCCUUUGGCGGGGGAUAACGUUCCGAAAGGAGCGCUAAUACCGCAUAAGACCACGGAGUCUCCGGACGCUGUGGGAAAAGGUGGCCUCUUCUUGAAAGCUAUCACCGGAGGAUGAGCCUGCGUCCCAUCAGCUAGUUGGUAAGGUAAUGGCUUACCAAGGCAAAGACGGGUAGCUGGUUUGAGAGAAUGAUCAGCCACACUGGCACUGGAACACGGGCCAGACUCCUACGGGAGGCAGCAGUGAGGAAUAUUGGGCAAUGGGCGAAAGCCUGACCCAGCCACGCCGCGUGAGUGAUGAAGGCCCUCGGGUCGUAAAGCUCUGUGGAGAGGGACGAAAAACCUGGGGUCUAAUAGGCCCCGGACUUGACGGUACCUCUUUAGCAAGCACCGGCUAACUCUGUGCCAGCAGCCGCGGUAAAG